GUCCUAGCCGUAAACUAUGAGUACUGAAUUGAAGGGCCCUCCAUAGCCCUUCAGUUUAAGCGAAAGUGUUAAGUACUCCGCCUGGGGAGUAUGGUCGCAAGGCUGAAACUCAAAGAAAUUGACGGGGGCUCACACAAGCGGUGGAGGAUGUGGCUUAAUUCGAGGCUACGCGAAGAACCUUAUCCUAGUCUUUACAUGCACGGAUUAACUCCUGGAAACAGGAGCCAGGCCUUCGGGUACAACGUGCACAGGUGCUGCAUGGCUGUCGU
rnacentral:rRNA from 1 species